AUAUCUAAUGGUGUGAAUUUGAGGUACGCAGAGGUAUACAAUUAUGCUUCUAAACUCCGGAGUUAUGUUCUAAAAUAUCUGAUUUUGUAUCCUCUGAGCAUGUUGCUAUCUGUUGAAAUCCUGGUAUUUUGUUGGCAUGUCGUAUAUGUAUGAUGUUUAUUGUUUGAUGGCUAAAUGUAUGGAAUGGAACAGGAUACUGGUACUGAGUGGAUCCUCGCCAAUAGUCCACUAGUUUCUUCCUUCUAUCUUCUCUCCUUAAACACAACAACAAAACCUAAUAUAAAACAACCAUCAUUACUUCCUUUUUUUUCCUUUUCCUUUCGCUUUCUUUCUUUUUCCCUUUUUCUUUCUUUUCUAUUUUCUCUUUCUUUUCUAUCUUUUCUUUCUGCCUCUCAUUACGUUUUAUUUGCCUUUUCCAUUCACCAAUUCCCUUCAGCCCUCCAACUUUUUAAGGUACUAUAUUACGUAAAUGUUCUUUUUAAUUUAACCCAAAAGUUACUAAUCUUUCAAUUAUAACCAAAACAUCCUCGUAAAGGAAUUUCGUCCUCGAAAUUUGAAAAAUCCUGUCUUGCCGAUACCGUAACGACCAUCAUUACAAACACCAAAUUAAAUAAGCCGAGAUCUAGGAGAAUGGAUGAUGCUGAUCACUAGUAAUGUAUCCGGAGACUGGUAUGUGUCUUUAUGAAAUAUUGAUUCGUUGUGCUCCUCUCUCUGUUGACACAUUUGUUGUUGAGCCAUCAUUGAUUCUUGAGUAUAUUCCCGUCGUAUUGCAUACUGCCCUGUUUAAAAUGAUUUUUCAGGAUGACGUGGGAGUUCGGGAGUAGUACGAGAUGGGUCGGGUUGAAAGACUUGAAGAUUUUGAUGAUCCUUUUGUAUUAAUUUCUAUUUGGAGACAUUGUAAAAUAAACCUUUGGAGACUAUUAAAUAUGUGAGAAAAUCGUGCUCUAUUGUAUUUGAGAAAAAAUACUGCGAAUUUUAGGUAAUUAAUUAACGGUCCGGGAGGGUUCGGGUUCGUCACCUUAGUUAUCCUUUUUCAACUAAAUUCAUUGGUAAUUACAUUUGUGUAAGAAUUUGUUUGAGAACAUGUGUGUAGGGAGAGUCCCACAUUUGAUACGUAAAAAAGAGUUGGCUUUAAUAUACCUUGAUGAACUCAUCACUAUAAAGGCUAGCCUUCUAAGUGGGUAUGAGUUUCAAAUCACAACAGUGUAAUAUUAGGCCAGAUGAUGUGGAUGCGGACCUAAUGCGAUUUCGCUCCAACUGGCUCGGCGCCUUACGUGGCCCACGUGGCGGACCAUUGAAGCGAACUCUCUCCCAACAAGUGGUAUAUGCCGAUGGUUAGCGAUCUAUGGGCGGCAACACCCCGAUAUUAUGGGCUUGCAAGAGACUCUCGAUGGAGCGAAAAAAAUCCAAGGUAACUCUCGAUGGAGCAAGGUGCUCACAGCAUGUGUAGCGUGCGGCAAAAUGGCUCUUGAUGGAGUAAUGAUGGAUGACUCUCGAUGAAGUGAGCGCGGUGAAGAAGCCCGGGUUUGGUUUUGGAACAUAAUAGAUCAAUGAUUAAGGGGGAGCUUGGAUGAUCAAAAUAAAUCAAAAAUUCAAGGGGGAGUAAGGCCAAUAUACCGUUCACACAAGAGGGGGAGAUUGUUGAGGACUUGUGUGAAGAAUAAGUCCCACAUCGAUUUAAAAUAAGAGUUGGCUCUUAAUAUACAAUUGGAUGGACUCACCACUUACAAGGGUUACCUUUUUAAAACUUUUUAAGUGGGUAUGAGUUCCAACGGUGUAUAAUUGGGGCCAAGACGAUUGUGGAUGCGACUAUGCGAUUUCUCUUUCUAAUGGAUCGGGCCUUACGUGCGCCCACGAGCCGGACCCUUAUCGCACUCAUUCCGCAACUUCUCCCCCUCAACACCAACUUCGUUCUUUUCAGCCCCAUCCGCGAGCUGAUUACAGAAACUUUCGAAUUUUGUUUGCCACUCAAAACCUGUUGUAACAAGAUGUGGCACUUGGUCUUUUGGUGUUAACAUGUUCAACCGAUUCUCUGGGCGAACUUUGUCUCCCUGAUAAAAUGAUAAUGCCCUCUACGUGUUUAGUUCUUGCAUGAAAAACUGGAUUCUCAGCCACACGAUGCCAAUUGGUUGUCGCAAUAACAAGGAAAUUGCAACAAUUUGUUGGCUGACGGUGAUAUGACACCCAGAAUCCUUCAACAAUCGUAUGAGCCAAAAUGAUCUCUUGUGCUGUAUUGCGUAGCUCGGUCACUCUGCUUCUAGGUUGUUGAAAAAGAAUACAAUGGCUUGCAUUUUUGCUGCAACCAAGCGAUUGCUCCCCAUCCAAGCAUAAAAAAAUACCGGUAGUUUAGCGUUGAGUAUCAUGAUCACCUGAAUAGUCGAGUAUCAUGUCACCUGCAUAGUCAGCAUCACAAAACCAAACUAGCUUGCAAUCUCCCUCUUUCUUAUACAAAAUGCCAUAAUCAAGUGUGCCCCGUUCACAUAUCGAGAAUUCGCGGAAC
rnacentral:lncRNA from 1 species